rnacentral:sRNA from 1 species
UUCGAAAGUUCAACUGAAACUAAUUUCCAGUUUUAGCCAAAACAUCUGGAACACAUCAACAAAAUUUCGUAUCAAUUUUCAACACUUCAGACUCAGAUUCCAUUUGGGGUCAACAGCAAAAACAAUUGCUGCAAGAGGAGGCACGUCUAGACUCGAAAUUACUGUGUGUAUGUGGUUGCUGCUGAUGUUGCAGCCACUGCUAAUGGCCAUUGCGUCUGUUGCAAAUGUGGCUGGGCUGCAACUCUGCGGCACAUAUUGCGAAAAUCUUCAGCAAAACAAAACAGCGCGAAACCAGACGAUAAUCAAGCGGCCAAGAGUCAAGAAAAAUGGUCAGAAAACUGGUUUUACCAACUCAUUUUUCCUUCUUUUUUCGGUCUUUUCAGGCUUCAGUGGAAGUGCUUUCGGUUUUAGACUCUUUCAGCUUUUGUCUCUCCUCUGUACCUGUCUCUCUCUUUGCGCCAUUUGCCAUUACAAUAAUUCUGUUUGCCCAUUUGUUUUGUAAUGCUAUUACUUUUUGAGUAAGAAUUUCAGCAACAUUUGUGGGUAACAUUUAAGUGCCUGAGGAAGUGGCCUGCAAACAAGUACGAGUUUCGGCUUUAAAGAAGAACGAAGACGAAUUGAAAGGGCUUGGCAUUCUUCAUGCUAAAUGUUAUUUACUUCUUAUGAGGGAUUAUAAUUAUAAAGAAUUUUUAAUAGA